AAUUUUAGAUCAUGAAGCUUUUCUUUAUUAAUGGGACAUGCAUCUUUACUAGUGGGAAUGAAUACUUGACCCAUAUUUUUGUUGGUGAAUUUAAGUUUUUGAUACAUCAAGUAAAAUCAAUGAUAUUACCUUGUUUUCUCCAGCUGAUUAUUCCUCUCGUCGACAUAGUAGGAGUUUACAUCAAUCCCAGUUGUUCCUCCAUGAAUGUCG
rnacentral:misc_RNA from 1 species